rnacentral:lncRNA from 1 species
CCCCAGCUCUCCUAUCCAGGUGGCUACUCCUCCAGACCCCACCUGCCCCAACAGCUGGAGGGCGAAGCUGCUGCAGGCAUGGGAGGCAGAGGAAUGGUGGAGGAGCUGGGGUGCUGGGCGUGCAGUAGUGCUUGACUGGAAACCGGACGAAGCUGCAGAUGGGAGAGGCACUGCUUGAACACUCCUGCCGCAUCCAUCACUCCGGGCACCUCCUGCAGUGCACACGGUCUCACUUUGAUUUUAAUCCCACCAAUAGCAGGAAGGAGGAUGUGGCGAACAUAUUUUCCUUUCAUUCGCCGAGUUAGUUUCUGGUGUUACCUGCCCACUACUG